rnacentral:misc_RNA from 1 species
AAUUCUCAACCUUUCAAGCUUUUGUUUAAAAGCUAGUCAAGCUUGGAUUCUGGGAGUGUGCUGGCUUUUAACAAAUCAGCUCUCCUUAAAUGUAUUAGCAAGAUCAAUCGCUAACUCAACUUUGAUAUGAUAAUUAUCUGUAUCUUGGAUGAAACGGCGUUUUCCUCUUUUCAAAGGGGAAAGGUCUGGCUUAUAACCGUCUCUUCGGAGACAGUCCUUUUGAAUC